GGUUUGGAAAUGCAUGUGAAGGGAAGGAGUAGUUGGGAUCUGCUAUGCAAUGUUUGCUUCAUGCACAAAUUAGGGUGUAGAAUAGUCCUGCAGAUACAAACUACAGUGACAGUACCAAAUGUAAAUGCUGUCCAUACACACUUGGUGGCUCUCAAGUACAGUUCAGAGAUGUGGUGCCUGGGUCUCUAGUGAUGAAUCAUCCACUAUACCCUGAGCUAACACUUGUGUUGGCAGUGACAAGGAUUGUUGCUAUACUGAAGAGAUCUCUUCCCUUAUUUUGACGUAAAGCUGGUUUUUGGAAGUGUCUAAUAAAAACUCUUGUCUUCAUAGCUCCUGUGAAGAUAUCAUGGCGAUAAAGGUGUUGAUCAGUGAAUGUCUGAAGAGCGCAUAAAUCCAGGAAUGAUGCACUUUUAAAGGAAGAAAGUGCUCUGUGGCUUUGACACUUGAGCCCUUGACUGUGUAAACCUUUGACAUGAAAGUUCAUUGUGUUGAACAGCUCUUUGAAGGGAUCGCAUCACUCUGUGCCUGAAAAGGAGAAUUCCUCUUCAACAUACUUCAAGAUGACUUGGUUUGAGUGGGAAGACUCUUGGCUUUUGCAAAUAAAGCUUUUAUAUUCA